CUAGAAAAUAAUAACGCUAAUAAUGCCUCGUUUCUAACGCGCGGUCCCAAAAGGUGCUUUAGGUCAUUUUCUUAUCGUUUACCCCGCGUCCUAGAUAGAAGUUAUGAACGCAAGGAGAUUUUCGGAAUAACAAAGGGAAACUGAAAGCUGCAUUUCCAUUUCCAUGGGAGAUAAAAGCGCUUCUAUAGGGGGCUUAAUCAUUAACCUACUUUUUCUUCUUCUCUUUUUUUUCUUCUUUCAGAAUUUGCUGUUUUGACACAAGGACGUCUAGUUCGUAUUCAUUUCAACGUGAACCCGCUAACUAUGAAGGAAAGCUGCAGGACAGUCAGUGCACGUUCUGAUCAAAGCUCCUAAAGAUUAUAGGAAAAAAAGAAGAAAAAAAACCCACAGCAGCUCGAGCACGGGGAUGAAAAAUGGGCAGAGGUUUCAACACCAAAAAGGCCAAAGCGGGAGGACACGCAGCGUGGAGCAGAGGAGAAGAAGAGAGCCGGGGAAUCCCUCUGCAUGACCCAGACUGAUGUAAAGGCUUGUGAAACUGAAUGACCGUGCCCUGCAGGAUAAUCCCACCCUACCUGUCGCCACCGCACCUGAACUUUCCCCUGACCCGUGCAGAGUUGAGUGGCAAGUCAGACAUCCAAGAAUCGACUUUGGUAGCAUUUAAAACUCAUCUUUAAUUUCUUAAUUCAACACGAUUCUAGCUCCUUGCCAUUUCCUAAAACUCUUUAAUCGAUCACGAUUUUUUUGUUUUUUAGCAAAAUAACACAAAUGUUUCCAGAUGGAUUUUCACAAAUCAAGCCUCCUUAUCUCUGUCAGCACGGAGAGGAGCUGCAGGCGCAGAGACCCCCUGGAUGUCGGCCAGACGACUGGCCGUAUCUUCCCACAAUGUUGACACUCGGAGCUCUUAACAGCCAGGCUUGGGUUACCGAGCCUCUCAGCCGAAGAUAACUGCUGCAGUGAGGUUUACAUCGGCCAACAUCAAGACUAAUGCGAAAUUCAACGCCUCGAGCUGAGUGGAGCCAUCUCUAAUUAACCCAAGACAAACACUGCAACCAACGAAGACAGAAGAAGUGUUUGCUUGGAUGUGGUUGUAAUAAAGCAAGUUGGAUUUUCUUGCAA